rnacentral:rRNA from 1 species
CAGCGCCCCGAGUGGCAAUCGCGAUUAUUGGGCCUAAAGCGUUCGUAGCCGGCUCCGUAAGUCCCUUGUGAAAUCGUCGCGCUUAACGUGACGGCGUGCAGGGGAUACUGCGGGGCUCGGGACCGGGAGGAGUCAGAGGUAUGCCUUGGGGACCGGUAAAAUGGGAUAAUCCAAGGUAGACCGCCGAUGGCGAAGGCAUCUGACCAGAACGGAUCCGACGGUGAGGGACGAAAGCCAGGGGAGCGAACCGGAUUAGAUACCCGAGUAGUCC